CUAAUGCCGACUAAGAAAGCUAAGCUGGGGAUUGGUAGUUGCCUGUGGAGGAAAGCUACUUCCAACUGCAGACAAAUGAGGCACGUCCAGAAUCGCCACUCACUGAGCAGUGUCAUAAGGCGUGACUGGGACUCUGCAGACACUGCUUUGGCCUCUUGUGCACACCCAACAUUCCCACUGGCUGGGCAGAAUGAGAAGCAGGAGAAUCCUUGGCUCUGUGUAAGCAUUGCUCUCCAACAACGAAAACAUGGAUGUAUUAUCAACAUUAUUUUCCUCCUAAAUCCAAAUCACAGCACUAUACCAGCUACUACGAAGAAAAUUAAUUCUAUCCCAGCUGAAAUCAGGAAACUACAGAAGCCACAAACCAGAUAUGUGCCUUGUAUGAAGAACUGAAAUCAACCAAAUUAUUCCCAAACUACAGUUCGAUUUGAUCCCAUUGAGUUAUACAACCUCCAGUUGAAGACGUAUCCAUGUUGCAGAUGGAAAUCUUGAUAGCAGAUAAAAAGGCUCCAGAGGAAAUGAACAUCUUUUUUUCUCUUUGGAUAAUUGACUGUGGUAGGGCUAUGAUUGCUUAGAAACCCUUCUAAUUUCCAGUAAACCAAAUAAAAUUGCAAAUGGAAGUAUCUCCUGAAGUAAAUGCAUUGAUUACAGUGGGCAGGAUCAGCAAGAUGACUGUGAUUCACUUAACAUUCUUUAUGGUUAAUAAACUAAGUACAAGAAUUAUUGUUCAUUUAACUAAUAAUGAUUUAGAGAGACUUUAUCCGUAAUUACGUUUGUAUUACACCCUCCCAAGCACUAUUGAAUAACGUUAUGCAGGUUUUCUUUGAGCAAAAUUGCAUCAAUUUGAACCACAAUUGCUUCUUUUUGUCUGAGUUCAGGUUUAGUUCCAUAGUAUUUUAUACUGACGUUACUGUUUUUUUUUUUCUAUUGAUUUCUGAAUAACAUUGUACUUUUCAUAUGUUUAUAUAAGAAAAAAAUCUAUCUGGAUUCAGAGAGUCCUAACUAAAGCUGU
ensembl:lncRNA